GGUGUUGAGUAGGUUUGUUUGUGUCAGGUGAGAGGAUGUUCGUGUAGGUGUUGAGUAGGUUUGUGUCAGGUGAGAGGAUGUUCGUGUAGGUGUUGAGUAGGUUUGUGUCAGGUGAGAGGAUGUUCGUGUAGGUGUUGAGUAGGUUUGUGUCAGGUGAGAGGAUGUUCGUGUAGGUGUUGAGUAGGUUUAUGUCAGGUGAGAGGAUGUUCGUGUAGGUGUUGAGUAGGUUUAUGUCAGGUGAGAGGAUGUUCGUGUAGGUGUUGAGUAGGUUUGUUUGUGUCAGGUGAGAGGAUGUUCGUGUAGGUGUUGAGUAGGUUUAUGUCAGGUGAGAGGAUGCUCGUGUAGGUGUUUGAGUAGGUUUAUGAACACUGUGC
ensembl:lncRNA